UAUGUUCCUAAGAUAGGCAUCUCUCGCCCUGUCUCGAUUUAUAUACUUUCUUAUCCAAUUUAAAUUUAGAAGAAUGAUUAUCUGAUAAAGAAAAUAUAUCCAGCUGGCUUAGCUUCUUUCUUUGGAAAAGGAAUGCAUUCACAUUCUUCCUUCUGAACGGAUUGGAAGCUGCAUCAUUCUGCAUGUCUGAUUUUCAUCAUUGGCACUUUCUGAAUAGUUAAGCCCUGCUUUUUUAGGCCUGUAGGAUAUUUAAAUAACUUCCCCUAAACACCCAAGAGCACUAAGUUAUAAUGCCCUCCCAAUAGCUAUUCACGAGCGCAAAUAAAAAAAAAGUCUUUAAGAGGUAAAAUUGUGCCCUUGCAGAGAAGGACUCUUUGAAUCUAUAGUUCAUAUUCUGUUAGACUGCACUUUCUAUAAGGACACAAGGGCCCACUUCCCAAUCUCCCAAUAUAAUGAAGUUGGUAGACAAUUCUGAUUUACAGGUAGUUCUUGAUCAUUUGUUUAAUGAUUGUUCAAAGUUAUGAUGGCCUUGAAAAAAGUGACAUGACUUGUACUCACAAUUACAACUAUUGCACCACCCCUGCAGUCAAUGAUCGCAAUUUGGGAACAUGACAAUUGACUUGGCAAUUGAUAUACCCUUUACCACGCCCUGUGGUCACAGGAUCGUGAUUUGUAAACUUUUUUGCUUAUUUCCAGCAAAAUUGCCCAUUGGGAAAGCUGGAUUUGCUUAUCAAUGCAUAAUUCAAUGAAUAGAAUAGAAUAUAACAGAACAGAACAGAAUAGAAUUCUUUAUUGGCCAAGUGUGAUUGAAUACACAAGGAAUUUGUCUUUGGUGCAUACGCUCUCAGUGUACAUAAAAAGGCAAGAUAAACCCGUCAAGAAUCACAAGGCACAACAUCCAGUGACAGUCAUAUGGUACAAUAAGAAAUCAAAUCAUACUAGGAAACAAUAUCAAUAUAAAUUGCAAAGAUACAAGCAACAAAGUUACAGUCAUGCAGUCACAAGUGGGAGGAGAUGGGUGACAGGAACGAUGAGAAGACCAAUAGCAAUAGCAAUAGCAAUAGCAAUAGUUUGACAGUUUGAGGGAAUUAUUUGUUUAUCAGAGUGAUGGCGUUCGGGGAAAAAACUGUUCUUGUGUCUAGUUGUUCUGAUGUGCAGUGCUCUACAGUGUUAUUUUGAGGGUAGGCGUUGAAAUAGUUUAUGUCCAGGAUGUGACGGUGUAUAAAUAUUUUCACAGCUCUCUUUUUGACUCGUGCAGUAUACAGGUCCUCAAUGGAAGGCAAGUUGGUAGCAAUUGUUUUUUUCUGCAGUUCUAAUUAUUCUCUGUGUGUGUCUUGUUGGGUUGCAGAACCAACCAGACAGUUAUAGAGGCGCAAAUGACAGACUCAAUAAUUCCUCUGCAGAACUGGAUCAGCAGCUCCUUGGGCACUUUGAGCUUCCUGAGUUGGCACAGAAAGAACAUUCUUUGUUGUGCUUUUUUGAUGACAUUUUUGAUGUUAGGUAUCCAUUUUAGGUUUUGAGAUAAUGAGGUCUUUAGGUAAUGAGUGAUUCACUUAACAACUGUGUGAUUGGCUUAAUGACCUCUGUAAAAAAUGUCAUAAAAUUGGGACUAACUCAGUGGUGAAAUCUAAAUUUCUUUCCUACUGUUUCUGUGGGCAUGGCUUGGUGGGGUCAUGUGACUGGGUGGGCAUGGCUAUGUAACCAUGUGACUGGGGGAUCAAAAGACAGAAACUCACUAACAAUGUCGUUCUGGAGCAGGGUUGGACUAGAUGACCUCCAGGUCCCUUCCAGCCCUGGAUUAUCUUUUGAAGCUGCGUCUAGUGCCAGAAUUCUGGUCAGAGAUGCUAAGGAAGAACUGCAGCCACCAGAGCCCAGGAACCAACAACUUUUCAGAUCCUAUUGAUUUUUCCUGCAAGAACUAUUUUCAUUUAAGUAAAGGAAACAUCAACAUCUCUUUCCUUUUCCCCACUCCUUUUUCUUUUCUUUACUUCCUGUACAGCAAGUGAAUUGUUUACAUUAAAAGAAAGCGAGGCUGCAGCAUUUAUUCUAAAAGUGAAGCCAAGGUUGAUUCUAGAAUCCUUUGCAUUUUUUUUUAUUUACCAACCUCCUCAAAACCUUGCUGAAUUCUGUUAUAGUCAAGAUUGAUUAAAAUCAUGUGUGUAAGAGGUGAGAAAUAAAAGACAUUGGAGGGAAACAAGAUACCUAAGGACACUAAGGGAUUGUGCACUUGACGUGUCAUUUAAAUGGAAGAAAGUUUAGUAAAUGACCUUGUAAGUAAUCAUAAUGCAGGUGAUCUGCUGGUAUAGAUGUAGAUAAGACCCUCAGCCCAAGGCCUGUUCACCAUAUGCAGCAGAGAAAGUCUCAUUCUUCUCUGCUGUAACAUUAACAGUAUUACAGUGGUGGAAGGAAUACCUUGGAGAUAUUUGAGCCACGGUGGUGCAGUGGUUAGAGUGCAGCCCUGCAGGCUGCUUCUGCUGAUCACCGGCUGCCAGCAGUUUGGCAGAUCAAAUCUCACCAGGCUCAAGGUUGACUCGGCCUUCCAUCCCUCUGAGGUCAAUAAAAUGAGGACCCAGAUUGUUGGGGGCAACAUGCUGACUUUGUAAACAGCUUAGAGAGGGCUGUAAAGCACUGUGAAGCGGUAUAUAAGUCUAAGUACUAUUUGUGCUCCAAAUUGUUGUUUUCCCAUUGCCAUUGGCGAUGUUGGAGGUAAUGUAUCCAGUCGGGUGUUAUACUUACUUCAUAUAGAGUGCUAUCUAAAUGGUAUAUACCAGGGAUGGCUAACCUUUUUGCCAUCGCGUGCCAAAAGUGGGGGGAAGCUGUGGGGGGGGGUCACGCACAUGUGUGCCCACAGUCAUAAUUCAAUGCACCCUAUGCAUGUGCAUGCGACCCCCCACUUUUGGCAUGGUAGGCCCAUUUUUCACCCUUCCCAAGCUCCAGAGGCUUUCUAGGAGCC